rnacentral:rRNA from 1 species
CCUACGGGGGGCAGCAGUGAGGAAUAUUGAUCAAUGGACGCAAGUCUGAACCAGCCAUGCCGCGUGCAUGAAGACGGCUCUAUGAGUUGUAAACUGCUUUUGUACGAGGGUAAACGCUGAUACGCGUAUCUUUCUGAAAGUAUCUUACGAAUAAGGAUCGGCUAACUCCGUGCCAGCAGCCGCGGUACGACGGAGGAUUCAAGCGUUAUCCGGAUUUAUUGGGUUUAAAGUGUGCGUAGGCGGUCGGUUAAGUUAGAGGUGAAAUCCCGGGGCUCAACUUCGGAAUUGCCUCUGAUACUGUUCGGCUAGAGAGUAGUUGAGGGAGGCAGAAUGUAAGGUGUAGCGGUGAAAUGCUGAGAGAUC